GAUGAAGAACGCAGCGAAGUGCGAUAAGUAAUGUGAAUUGCAGAAUUCCGUGAAUCAUCGAAUCUUUGAACGCAAAUUGCACUUUCUGGUAUUCCGGAGAGUAUGCCUGUUUGAGGGUCAGUGUAAUAAAAAUAAAUCGUGGUUGUUUGCCACCUUUUCGUGGUGACGUUUCGGAAUUGAGUCGUCUUACCUUCGGUUAAGUGACUUAAAAUUUUUUCAUACGAUUUCGAAACGUAUUUAAUGUAUUAUGUACGUUCACGAAUAUCGAAUGUUUAUUAGGUGCGGUCAUUUUUCAUGAAUUCGCGUCUAUAAUUUUUUUUUUUUUGACCUCAAAUCAGGUAAGAAUACCCGCUGAACUUAAGCAUAUCAAUAAGCGGAGGA
rnacentral:misc_RNA from 1 species